rnacentral:lncRNA from 1 species
UCAUUGGGAAAGGAAAUUUUAUUCGACAAAUCAUAUUGAGACAAUGGGUCAGGGCUUUUGCGAAACAGAAGAUGGCUCCCCAUUUACAUUAAAUCCCAGUGGUUGACACCCAAUGACACAUGCACACAAAUGCAUACACAGGGGUAUACACACACACAAACACAAACACACACAGGCAAAGAAAUCUAACUGUACAUGCCAAGAAAAAAAAAUAAUUGAAUAUUUGAUCACUAGUCGUGAAGGGCACUCUGUCAUGUCAGAAAUCCCAAGGAAAAGGAAGACAGACCUGAUGACUUGAAAAUAUUAAGUUAAGAAAAUUGUAAGAUAAAAAAAAAUAAUAAAGAACAUAUAAUGAAAAUAGAAACAUCCAAAUAGAGGGGAAAACCAUCAGUGACUAUCAGGAUUACAAUCUAGCAUCUUUACAACAUACAGAGCUUCUAAAAAGUGAUUACAAAAACAUGAAAAUUCCAGAAUAAAAGUGGGCAAAGGACACCAGACAACUCAGAGCAAAUAUAAAUGAACUAAAAAAAUAGAUGAAAAAAUGUCCAUCUCCCUACUUAACAAAGGCAAAAUUCAAAGAGGAGAAGGGAACCUUUCUUACUACCAAGUUAGCAAAAAAUAAUGCCUUUUCCUAAUAGUGCUGAUAAGAGGACAAUGAAACAGGAAAUCUCAUUCACUGCUAGUAGGAGUAUAAAAUUUUCUGGAAAGCAAUCUGUAUUUUCUCAAGAGGCCUCAAAGAUGUUUAUAUCCUUUGACCUAGUAAUCCUACUUCCAAGAACUUAUCGUCAGAAAGUAAUUUAAAAAUUCCAAUAGUCAUUGUUUAUAAAAACCAGGAGCACCCACACAUGUCCACUGCAUAGUUCAGUAUCUUCUUGAGCACCAAAGAUGUGUCCAACUCUGAGCUGGAAUGGAGUCCAAACACAAAACACAUGGUCCUCAUCCUGCCAGAACUGACAACCUGGAAGGAGAUAAGCAGUUAAUUGAGUAAUUAUGACAUUUGCUACAGAACCUCAGAGCCGAGGGAACCUAACCAGAGGAAGUGGCAUUUAAACUAAAAUGUGUGAAGUUAACCAGAAGAUGGGGAUGACAGAGGGAAGAGUGUUUUAGAACAGAAAAUGGCAUCUGCAAAGACCUGGAGGGAAAAAAGCCAGUGACCCUGCCGCUCUGGAGGAGCAGGCGAAGAGGGGUGGGCAGACUGUAAAUCACGUUUAGGAGUUUGUUUGCUCGUUUGUUUUUGGUCAUGCCCAUGGCAUGUGGAAGUUCCCUGACCAGGGGUCAAACCCGCCCCACAACAGUGACCCAAGUCACAGCAGUGACAACGCCAGAUCCUUAAACCCAUUGAUCCACCAGAGAACUCCAUUUAGAAUUUAGAUUUUAUCCUGAGGGCAGUGGUUUGGUAAAUGAUCCCACAUCCAUUACAUGGAAAUAUAACUUAUUAGGAAAAUAGUUUCUCUGUCCUUCCAUUGUCUGAGGAGACUCAUAAGGAAAAAAAAAAAAAAAAAAAGGUAUUUUUACUCUCUUUAUCUCCUCAAGGACAUGGAAGUCUCCAGAUCCAGGCUUUGCUUACCAACCUCUCCUUGGGCAACUCCUAUCCUUCCCAAUUCAAUUAAGAUUGUCUUCGUGCAAAUACCAUAUAUCACUUAUAUGAGGGAUAUAAAAUAUGACACAAAUGAACCCAUCUACAGAACAGAAACAGAUCACAGACUUGGAGAACAGAUCUGUGGCUGCCAAGAAUGAGGAAGAGGGAGUGGGAUGCACUGGAAGUUUGGGGUUAGUAGAUGCAAACUACUACAUUUGGAAUGAAUAAACAAUGAGGUCUUGCUGUAUAGCGUAGGGAACUAUAUCCAAUCACUUGGGAUAGACCAUGAUAGAAGAUAAUAUGAGAAAAAGAAUACACACACACAUACAUAUACAUAUACAAACAUAUAUAGAAAAGUGGGUCACUUUGCCGUACAGCAGAAAGUGACAGAACAUUGUAAAUCAACUAUAAUUUUAAACAUUUUAUUAAAAAAAAAAAGAUUGUCUUUGUGUUUCCAAGUGGCAACAAAGAGAAUCCAAGACUCUAUCUGGAAGAUUAGGACCUAGUAGGAAUGAAGUUAGGAUAGCUUUUCUGAAGAAGGGAGAGACAGAUGUGAAGGAGUGCCACCAUCAGGGAGAAGAGGUCUUCCCAGAUGUGAGAAUUACUGUGAUGGUGCUGAGGGAAGGUCCGUAGUAGGUACUGGGUCUCGAAUGCAUCAGUAAGAUACGAAAGCCCACCCAUCGGGACAGCCCCACUUCUUAAUGCACCACAAGGGCACACACAGCAAGGAGCACGGGCAAGACAGUCAGGGUAGACUAAAAACCCUUAUCCCCAAGUUUAGUCUGUAUUAGGCUCCAGGAUGAAGGUGAUGAUGAUGUGUGUGUGUGUGUGUGUGUGUGUGUGUGUGUGUGCUAUGAAUGGUGGUUAUCUCUGAGUGACAUUUUUCCCUCUGCUUUAAAUGCAUUUUGCAAAUUGCUAGAUGAGCAUAUUUUACUUUUAUAAGUGCUUGUUACAUAUUUUAAUCAUUUUAGUAUAAGAUCGUCAGAGAAUAAGCCUAGUUUAGAGUUUAAAACAUAGUAGCACUACGUAAGUAAUACUCAUCAGUGCAUGAAGUGAAGCAGCUUCUUCAAAAGACUAUCCACAGAUUGUUAAGACUCCUACAAUUUUUGACUUACAACCUGCGCACAGGUCCCAUUGAUUCUCACCAGCAACUUGCUACAGUUUUCCUGUUUGGGGGGAGGGGGGUGAAAACUACACUGAUACAACUCCUUUGCUCAACAAAUUCAGAAGAGAAACAAAAUGACAUUUAUUGCUUUAAAAACCUUCAUCUCUUGUCCUCUUGUCACUACACAUUUUUCAGGCCUGAGAAAUGGGGCUAUGAUUUUCCACUUACUUUCUUUUUCAGAUGAUGAGUCCCGUGAAAAUGUAGGGCCAUUAAUUAAGAAUACCCCAUCCUUCCAAAUCAAAAACUUGACUUCCGGGGUCCUCUUCACCUAAGUUAAAGAUAAAAAAGCAGCAAGAAGGUGCCACCGUUAU